rnacentral:rRNA from 1 species
UGCCAGACUCCUACGGGAGGCAGCAGUGAGGAAUAUUGGUCAAUGGGCGAGAGCCUGAACCAGCCAAGUCGCGUGAGGGAGUACUGCCCUAUGGGUUGUAAACCUCUUUUGUCGGGGAGCAAAAGCCGGACGUGUCCGGCUGUGAGAGUACCCGAAGAAAAAGCAUCGGCUAACUCCGUGCCAGCAGCCGCGGUAAUACGGAGGAUGCGAGCGUUAUCCGGAUUUAUUGGGUUUAAAGGGUGCGUAGGCGGUGCGUAAAGUCGGAGGAAAAGUGGGGGGCCACACCCCCUACCCGCCAUUGAAACAGGCGCUCUUGAGUGGAAGAGAAGUAUGCGGAAUGCGUGGUGUAGCGGUGAAAUGCAUAGAUAUCACGCAGAACCCCGAUUGCGAAGGCAGCAUGCCGGCUUCCGACUGACGCUGAAGCACGAAAGCGUGGGGAUCGAACAGGAUUAGAUACCCGUGUA